CAGAGCCCCAGACGACCAGACCUAACCACGCGACGUGAGUUCCAGACCUCCAGGGAGCCGAGGCAGCCGCCGGCGCCCGCCGGUGACUCCCCUGCACUCCCCUGCUCGUCUGCUCCCCUCCCCUGACUCCGGCGCUCCCGUCCAGUCCCCUGCAGGCUGCAGCCCUGCUCGCCUGCUCGGCUGCGCUGCUCGCCUGGCUCGCCUGCUCUGCUUCUCCAGCCGGGCGCGGGGCGCCGCCGCGCCGGCUCUGCUCCGGCCCUGCUCCAUCCUCCAGUCCUGCCGGCCUCUCCUGCCUCCCGGUCUCCCCCGCGCAACUGCUGCCCCGACUGUAGCCGGGAAAUAAAAGAUGAACAUAUUUUAUUCAUCGGUGGCCGCAAUGGAAGUGUCUACACCCGCAAGUGAUCAAGGGGCUGCCUGAGAGGGCUGAAGUACUGCUAAUGAUUUGGUACUCUUUUUUAUCACGUACUGUUUGUAGUUUUUAUCACGUAUAGUAAGACACUGUUUAGUUGUAUCUUUAUAAGCAUUGAGUUUAAAUUCUAAAUUUUUGGUGUAAUUGAGCCAUAUUUGAGGUAGCUAUAGCCUGAUGGACGUUAA